rfam:Myotis lucifugus cont2.20886, whole genome shotgun sequence.
AUUACCUGGGGAUCUUGUUAAAAUGCAGAAUCAGAUUCUGUAGAUCUAAUGGGUUUUGAGAUUCUGCAUUUCUAACAAGCUCCUACAUGAGGACAA